AAGACGUAAGUAUUAAACCGUGCAUAUAACUUUCAUUUUCCACAAGCAAGAGUAAUAAUCUUCAUUGCAUUUUCUUACCAAUACUGAUACAUCAUACAUUUGUUAGGCAACACGUCUUUUUCUUUUUCUCCUUUCAUAAUUUUCUUUUAUUCUUAUACAAAUUCAUAUCACGUUCACACACAUGCUUUAUUGUUUUACAAACAUGUUUAAACUUAGAACCCCCGCAAACAAGUUUAUAUUUUGAACCAAAAACCGUUGUAAGUUCGCAAAAAAAAAAACCGUUGUAUAAAUAAUUAAGAGAUUAUAACCAAAG
rnacentral:lncRNA from 1 species